rnacentral:rRNA from 1 species
UACGUAGGGGGCAAGCGUUGUCCGGAAUCAUUGGGCGUAAAGCGCGUGUAGGCGGCUUGGUAAGUCUGCUCUGAAAGCCCGGGGCUCAACCCCGGGAGGCGGGUGGAUACUGUCAAGCUCGAGUCCGGAAGAGGAGUGUGGAAUUCCACGUGUAGCAGUGAAAUGCGUAGAGAUGUGGAGGAACACCGAUGGCGAAGGCAGCCCCCUGGGUCAAGAUUGACGCUCAUGCACGAAAGCGUGGGGAGCAAACAGG